UUUCCGUAGGUGAACCUGCGGAGGGAUCAUUACAGAGUUGUAAAACGUUCAAACCAUUGUGAACGUCACCUAUCCCGUUGCUUCGGCGGGCUGCCCGGGCCCCGCGCCCGGCGGCCCCCGGCCUCCCGGGGGCGCUCGCCGGAGGUAAACCAAUCCCUUUACUUGCAUGGCCACUCUCAGUCUUCUGUACUGAAUAAGUCAAAACUUUCAACAAAGGAUCUCUUGGUUCUG
rnacentral:misc_RNA from 1 species